rnacentral:rRNA from 1 species
AGAAUCAACGCUGGCGGCGUGCCUAACACAUGCAAGUCGAACGAGAAAGUGGAGCAAUCCAUGAGUAAAGUGGCGCACGGGUGAGUAACACGUGACUAACCUACCCUUGAGUGGGGAAUAACCUAGGGAAACCUGGGCUAAUACCGCAUAGCACCUACGGGUCAAAGGAGCAAUUCGCUUAAGGAGGGGGUCGCGGCAGAUUAGCUAGUUGGCGGGGUAAUGGCCCACCAAGGCAGUGAUCUGUAUCCGGCCUGAGAGGGCGCACGGACACACUGGAACUGAAACACGGUCCAGACUCCUACGGGAGGCAGCAGUGGGGAAUUUUGCGCAAUGGGGGAAACCCUGACGCAGCAACGCCGCGUGGAGGAUGAAGUCCCUUGGGACGUAAACUCCUUUCGACCGGGAAGAUUAUGACGGUACCGGAAGAAGAAGCCCCGGCUAACUUCGUGCCAGCAGCCGC